rnacentral:rRNA from 1 species
UACGAGGGGGGCGAGCGUUGUUCGGAAUUAUUGGGCGUAAAGGGUGCGUAGGCGGUUUGGUAAGUCUUAUGUGAAAUCUACAGGCUCAACUUGUAGUCUGCAUGAGAAACUGCCGGGCUUGAGUAUGGGAGAGGUGAGUGGAAUUCCUGGUGUAGCGGUGAAAUGCGUAGAUAUCAGGAGGAACACCGGUGGUGUAGACGGCUUUCUGGACCGUAACUGACGCUGAGACACGAAAGCGUGGGUAGCAAACAGG